UGGCAGACGGGUGAGUAACGCGUGGGAACAUACCCUUUCCUGCGGAAUAGCUCCGGGAAACUGGAAUUAAUACCGCAUACGCCCUACGGGGGAAAGAUUUAUCGGGGAAGGAUUGGCCCGCGUUGGAUUAGCUAGUUGGUGGGGUAAAGGCCUACCAAGGCGACGAUCCAUAGCUGGUCUGAGAGGAUGAUCAGCCACAUUGGGACUGAGACACGGCCCAAACUCCUACGGGAGGCAGCAGUGGGGAAUAUUGGACAAUGGGCGCAAGCCUGAUCCAGCCAUGCCGCGUGAGUGAUGAAGGCCUUAGGGUUGUAAAGCUCUUUCACCGAUGAAGAUAAUGACGGUAGUCGGAGAAGAAGCCCCGGCUAACUUCGUGCCAGCAGCCGCGGUAAUACGAAGGGGGCUAGCGUUGUUCGGAAUUACUGGGCGUAAAGCGCACGUA
rnacentral:rRNA from 1 species